rnacentral:rRNA from 1 species
AAUAGCCUAACGGCUGAACCAGCAACUUGGAGGAAUGUAUAGCAAUAGCUAAUUGCAUCAAUGUUUAAAUAAUUGAUGCAAUAUCGACUAUGUCGAAUAAAAUUCUAGGUAGAAUUAUGAUAAUGACAUUGUCUGCCUAUGUGUCUUGACCAAAUUACGUGCCAGCAGUCGCGGUAAUACGUAGAAGACUAGUGUUAUUCAUCUUUAAUAGGUUUAAAGGGUACCUAGACGGUAAAUAAAGCCUGAAAUAUGGGACUAAUGUACUAGAGUUACUUACGAGGGGGUAUUAAAGUACUGCUGGUGUAGAGAUGAAAUUCUGUCAUACCUCGUUUCACAGGAAACACUACGGCACAGGUAUAGGCGAAAGCAUCUCCUUAUGUGAUAACUGACGUUGAAGGACGAAGGCUUUGUAUAGCGAACAGGAUUAGAUACCCCAGUAGUCAAAGCAGAAAAUGAUGAAUGUCAUAGAUUAGAUAUAUAGUUUAUUCUAUAAAUGAAAGUGUAAGCAUUCCACCUCAAGAGUAAUUUGGCAACAUUGGAACUGAAAUCAUUAGACCGUUUCUGAAACCAGUAGUGAAGUAUGUUGUUUAAUUUGAUAAUCCGCAAAAAACCUUACCACAAUUUGAAUAUUUUAAUUUUUAUUUUCUUUAUCUGUUUUUGUAUUGCCUUGCUUGAUUUUUUACUAAAAAAAGUUAUGUGAAAGAAAAAUAAUAAGGAGAAAAUAAAAAUUAAUUUACAAGCGUUGCACGGCUGUCUUCAGUUAAUGUCGUGAGAUUCUGGUUAGUUCCAUUAAUUAACGUAAACCCUUACUUUAUUUUUAUAUAGAGUUGUUCCCCACUAGAUUGGAUAAGAUAACAGGGACUAAGACAAGUCAUCAUGGCCUAAAUAUUGUGGGCUAUAGACGUGCCACAUAAACCUUACAAAAGGAUGUGAAAUUGCGAAAUUGAGCUAAUCCCCCAAAAAUGGAGAUACACUAACAAU